rnacentral:tRNA from 1 species
GUGGCUCAGUGGUUAGAGCGCCCGCCUCAUGAACGGGAGGUUGUGGGGUCGAGUCAUACC